CCGUUCGUUGACGCGAGCAGUUCGUGUGACCCGGCCGUUGUCUACCGCGCAAAGAAGAAGGGGGGGAAAAAAAAGUCGCACCGACAGUCACGACACGGCGGCGGCUCCCUGAAAUCCAGUAUAUUUCGACGGCGAUUCCAGCGAGAGUGUCUUAAAUAGAAAGCGACCACUGCCGUCGGGAUAUCCCACGCCUUUGGGCUUUCGCGGACCUCUUCGUGUGGAUAUUAUACGGUGUGAACCGACCGUUCGUCGUGUUGUGGGGAGGGGUAUCGUUGUGUACAGCGAACACUGUCGUAUCCUCCAGAAAUCGAAAAGGCCGAACUAAAAUUCUUUCUGUGGGCCUUAAAGGCGGGAGCCACUGUCUCCUAACUUGGUUUUGGAGGAAAUCCCUCUGAAUUAGCCGCCGUGUUGUGACACGUGCUUGGAACUGUGAGCUACGAGAAAUGAGGGCUGCUGCCGUCUGCUGCUAGUGCGUGAUUUGGAAGGGAGUCAAGGUGUGUUGUCUUCUGUAGGUCCGAUGCCGCUGAGCAACUUUCCAUUUCGCCACCAUGGUGCGCGUCGGUCCCACCACACUAGACUCGACCAGCCGAUUGAUGCUGUCGUCUAUGUCAGCGUGGUGUUCGUUCUGUUCGCGGCCAUCAUCCUGCUCCUGGUGGCCACCACUUGCCGUCGAUUUCAGCCGGGCGGACUAUCGAACCCGCCGGACGAGCCGCCGGAAAAUAACAGCGAGCCCCGGACAACGAUUGUCAGGCUGAAGGACCACGGUACCCGGGUGUGUACCGAGACGCUGCCGACGAGGAACACUGUGUAGAGCGUAGCAAUAACGGUUCUCCCGCGAAGGACAGCAAGCACCGACACUGACAUUAUCACCUCG